rnacentral:rRNA from 1 species
CAGUAGCCACGGGAAUACGUAGGUGGCAAGCGUUGUCCGGAAUUAUUGGGCGUAAAGGGUGCGUAGGCGGCGGCCAAAGUCAGGCGUGAAAUUCCUGGGCUCAACCUGGGGGCUGCGUUUGAUACUUGGUUGCUUGAGUGGGGAAGAGGGUCGUGGAAUUCCCAGUGUAGAGGUGAAAUUCGUAGAUAUUGGGAAGAACACCGGUGGCGAAGGCGGCGACCUGGUCCUUUACUGACGCUGAGGCGCGAAAGCGUGGGGAGCAAACAGGAUUAGAUACCCGCGUAGUCCCUGUCUCUUAUAA